GAUGAACGCUGACAGAAUGCUUAACACAUGCAAGUCGAUGGGGAAGUGGUGCUUGCACCAUGGCAACCAUGGCGGACGGGUGAGUAACGCGUAAGGGACUUACCUGCAGGACUGGGAUAACAGGGGGAAACUCCUGACAAGACCGGAUAAUGUCAUGGAGCUGCAUGGCUUUAUGAUGAAAGGAGACGCCUGCGGAGAGCCUUGCGUCCUAUUAGCUAGUUGGUGAGGUAAUGGCUCACCAAGGCGAAGAUAGGUAGCCGGCCUGAGAGGGUGGACGGCCACAAGGGGACUGAGAUACGGCCCUUACUCCUACGGGAGGCAGCAGUGGGGAAUAUUGGACAAUGGGGGCAACCCUGAUCCAGAAAUUCUGUGUGCACGAAGAAGGUUUGCGGAUUGUAAAGUGCUUUCAGCAGGGAAGAAGUAAGUGACGGUACCUGCAGAAGAAGCGACGGCUAAAUACGUG
rnacentral:rRNA from 1 species